rnacentral:rRNA from 1 species
CCUACGGGUGGCAGCAGUGAGGAAUAUUGGUCAAUGGACGAGAGUCUGAACCAGCCACGUAGCGUGAAGGAUGACUGCCCUAUGGGUUGUAAACUUCGUUUAUAAAGAAAUAAAACGAGACACGUGUGCGUUUUUACAUGUACUGUAUGAAUAAGGAUCGGCUAACUCCGUGCCAGCAGCGGCGGUAAUACGGAGGAUCCGAGCGUUAUCCGGGUUUAUUGGGUUUAAAGGGAGCGUAAAUGGGUUGUUAAGUAAGUUGUUAAAGUUUGCGGCUUCACCGUAAACUUGCAAUUGAUACUGGCAGUCUUGAGUACAGUUGAGGUAGGCGGAAUUCGUGGUGUAGCGGUGAAAUGCUUAGAUAUCACGAAGAACCCCGAUUGCGAAGGCAGCUUACUAAACUGUUACUGACAUUGAUGCUCGAAAGUGUGGGUAUCAAACAGGAUUAGAUACCCUAGUAGUC